UACUCCAAAUCUCUCAUCACCAGCAAUCACUAAAUCUACUCAGGCAUCGUCACCGGAUAUUAUAUAUAUCGGUAAGAGAUGCGACUUGCUUGGUUUUAGAAAACGUGGUGUAGUUGCUCGUGGUCAAGUACAUGAAGUUAAUCCAAAUGCAACUGUCCAUUGCGAACCGUUGGAGGAUGGAGCUUUUGUUGUUGUCUUGACUGAGGUUAUACAACCUGGCGUUCCUUUGUGAAAAGAAGAUGGGUUCGCAUCUAUACUUGGAGAGGCCAGUCCAGGAUCGUUUGUGCAAUGAGGGAAAGAGGCUUUAAGAAUUCAAUAAUUUGAAUAAAUUUGGUACUCUAUAAUUGAACAUGUGUAGUGUGCAUGUUUUUUUUUAGUUACUUUAUAUGAUGUUUAGCUUGUUUGUUUCUUAA